CCGACUUAAAAUGGUUCAAUGUAAGAUUUAUUGACUUUAAGAUGUUGUGGAAGUGAUAGGCAUUCAGGAGAGCCUGUGCUUGGAAUUGUGAAUUCUGUUCUUCUCCUGGGCCGGUGGUGUGUGGUGCGAUGCUCCCCUGCGAUGCUCGCAGAGGCAGUGAGCCGCCGCUCCCAGAUCGCCACCAGCCAUACAACCAUGAGGGGAACGACCCAUCUCCAUAGUGUGCUGCAUGGCCAGAUGGUUUUGUCCAAAUCCAAGCUAAUGUGAGUGUUCUGAGCAUAUCUAAGGUAGGUUGGGUGUAUUAAGUGAAUUUUUGACUUAAUGUUUCCUUUGUUUUUCUGACUUGCAAUAUUUUCAACUUAUGAUGGAUUUAUUGGGAUGCGACCCCAUUCUAAGUUGAGGAACAUCUGUAAAAUAAAUACAAAUGUAUGUAAUAAGAAACAAAGAGGCCAGGUGUGGUGGCUCACGCCUCUUGUAAUCCCAGCCCUUUUGGAGGCUGAGGCAGGAGGAUCCCUUGAGGCCAGGAGUUCGAGCCAGCCUGAGCAACAUAGCAAGACUCUGUCUGUAUUUAAAAAAUUAAAAAGUUAGUGAAGCAUGGUGGCAUGUGUCUGUAGACCUAGCUACUCAGGAGGCUGAGGCAGUAGGAUCCUUUGAGCCCAGGAGUUUGAGGCUGCAGUGAGCUAUGAUUGCACCACUGCACUCCAGCCUGGGAGACAGAGUGAGACUCGGCCUCUAAUAAAUAAAUAAAUAAAUAAAUAAAUAAAUAAACAAACAAAGUAUGUGAAGGCAUCAUGCCUAGGACAUAAUAAGCCUUUUAAAUGCUUUUCUUAUCUUUUUCCUUCUUCACAGUCAACACAGCAAUGAAAGUUUAUGAAUUUCUCUUUUUAUGCUUUGAAGACAUAAUACUUAUGGAGACCCAAUUCAGAAGUCAUGCGAUUUUCAGCAGGAUGCAGAUGGUGAGGUGCAAGGGAAAAAGGACAUUAACUGCUCACGAUCACACGACUGGUAACAGAAGGAUGGGGCUUGGACCCAGUGCAGCAGGACCCCCCAGCAUGCACCUUCCUUCCAGCCUUCCAGAGUGACAAGCUUCCACAUUCUGGAAAAUGGCUGCUUCCUUGGCUUGAAUGGGUAAGAAUGAGGUUGGGAUGCCAGUGUUCAUGGACUCUAAGGUUAAGCAAGGAAGACACCAAGAACUUCCUGGUCACAGCCACAACCCUGACUGGAUGUGGAUCUCUCUCUAGUGCCGUUUCCACCGUCAGAAGAGUUACCCGAUUACCUAUGAAUUCUGCAGAACCUAACUACCUUCUUCCUUUGUUUCUCCAAUGAACAAUAUCAAAUCAAAGGAGUCAGGCAGUGGAAGGUUGUGGACUGAGCUUUCCACCUUGGAGCAGCGCAGCCUGAUCAUAAUACUGAGGGGUUGGCAAAGCGAUGCUCAACUGAGAUUUUAAAAUAUUUCAUUCCAUCAAAGUACAAAAUUUACUUCAGGGGCCCACAGGGCAUUGUUUUGGAGAGACAGUAAAAUAGCAGGUGAGAUUUUUUAAAAAACAUGAACAAAAAGAGAGAUCACAUCUGAAUUAUGGUGGUUAUUUUCCUCUUUUAUUUUCUCUUCAUGUCUUUUAAUCUUGUGUGACAUUAUUUCAUGAAGUCUUCCUAAAUGUUACGCUUAAUUAUUUUUGAUAAAUAAGGUUUGGUUAAGAAAUUAACAGUGGGAGAUUUGCUUUAUACAACAUAAUGAGUUGAACACAGGAUACUUACUGUGAGGCUAUACCAGUCUUUGCACAUGCGGUCAAGAAUCAAUUCUGGUGGACAGAGGCACAAGGGAUGAUGGAAAUGUUUCCUAUCCUGACUGGGAUGAUGAUUAUACAUUUACCCAAACUCACCAAGCUGCAUCCUUAAAAUCUGUGUAUUUGAUGUAAAUUAUACCUCAUUUAAAAAAUAUGUCAUCGUUGGGUUACAGAGUAAGGACUUCUUGAGUACUGAAAAUGUAGCAUUUUCUGGGGGCAGAAGCAGGAUAAACAUGUGAGAUAACCAAUUUCUUCCAGUCUCCCUUUGAGCUAAUCUCAGUGAAGGCCUGAAUGCUGUAACCGCAGCCCAGAAAGGAGGGAGGGAGGAGGUAUGUGCAGAAAGCACAAUUGUCAGAAAAUGCUGGAAUCUGAGGAAGGUGCGAGGCUGGAUUGGCAUCCCCUCAUCUCCUGAUUGGAACCAUCACUCCUAGAAUAAGGUAAUCGGGGACUUGACAGCUUUCAUCAUGAGACUAGACUAGAAUCAGCCAUUCGCGGGGCUGUGGACUCAGUUCACGACGCUCCACAAGUGGCCGAUGAUUUUCUGCUCACUUAUCACGAUUCCCAUUUACUGUUUAAUGAUAUUUAUGAGCAGCCUGACUCAAGACCACAUACAAGAACCCCAAUCCCAGACAAAGCAGAAAGAGCUUUGUCGUAUAAACAAGUGCUGCUCACAGUGCGUUCCACUGAUUGGUGUCCCUCUGCAUGAUUAGACAAAAGGCUGUCACCAGAAGGGAAAUUAACAACAUCGCUAAGCCUGCUGUGUAGUUCAGCUGACGUUUUCUUCACAGCUUGAUUUUCUCAAUGAAGGAAACCAAACACAAUUUGCAUUUGGGUGCGAGUGUCUCAUAGUUGUGUGCUGAUAAACAGUUUGCAGAUUGGCUAUUUCAAACAGCACUGCUAUAGUUUGGUGACACUUUAAGCAAACACAGAAAAUAGCAGAACAUUCAUUCAAAAAUGAUUUUCUAGGUCACUUGAAAUUGUUGGAUAUUCCAGUUGCAGUGAAGGAGAUAUGAAAAUGACUAGAGCAAGGUAUCUACUCAUCUCUUAAAGCUUCUACUAAAGUAAUGCUAUCGCUGCAAUCAUCCUUACCAGACUUACAGAAGAGCUUAACACCAAAUUCACAGUGCCGUGUCUGGAAAAAAUCCUUACGAAAUUGCUAAAAUCCUCUUCUGGGUAUGACAGCCAUGAUCUAGGGUGCUUGCCAUUUGUUGUCUUUUUUUUUUAAAUUUUUAAUUUCUGUGGGUACAUAGCAAGUGUACGUAUUUAUGGGGUAUCUGAGAUGUUUUGAUACAGGCAUGCAAUGCGUAAUAAUCAUGUCAUGGAGAAUGGGGUAUCCAUCCCCUUAAGUAUUUAUUCUUUGUGUCACAAACAAUUGAUUAUACUUUUAGUUAUUUUAAAAUGCACGAUUAUUAGACUAUAGUCGCCCUGUUGUGCUAACACAAAGCAGGUCUUAUUCAUUUUUUCUAACUACUUUUUGUACCCGUUAGGUGCUGGACAUUUGAAUAUCCUUCCUAUGACAUAGGGUGCCUGUGAAGUGGCAUCUGUGGGACUCCUCAUUUGGCUCAUGACCUGUUUCUCCUCUUUUCCCUUCCAGUACAAUCAUCAGCAACCCAGAAGCCAAACUAAUAACAUCAGGGCUCUGUUUGCCAAGCUGAGCCAAGCUCCAGCUCUGUCUCUGGGAAACUCACGAUAUGAUAAUGAGAGCAGACUGGUGCGAGAGUCUAAACACCACAGAAAGUGGAAGUGACUCCAAAAAUGGUCCCAGUUUCUAUUAGCCCAUUUAUGCCUAGUGUUCCAUUAUUGGAAUGCUAAGCAAGUGGGAGUUAUUUAUAUUCUACUGCUCAAGGACAGCACCAAGGUCUGAUUGCAAAAAUUCAAAAAAUUGCAACCUCGGGCAUACAUGGGUUAAGAGAGAGAGAAGUUACCAAAACACAACAAAACAACCUGGAAAGGUCAAGAAAGCAGGGCAGAUGGGAAGGUGGACUCUUCUCUGGACACAUUUGUCAGUGGCCCUAUUAGAAAGAGAUAUCCAGAUGUAAUCUGACCACUGCAGGACGCAGGGGGACCAUUGCCUACCUAUGCUAUUGGCAACUCACUUUCAUUAAUGUCCCCCAAGAUUGGACUAAUCACUUUGGCAGUCAUAUAAAGAACUUGCUGUCAACUAAAACCCUUAGGUCUGUUUCCCACGAACUGCUGUUAAAUCAGGUUUCCACAAUCUUGAACUUGUGCACUGAUUUUUUUUCCAUCUAAAUUCAAGACUUCAUUAAAUUUCACCUUGUUAGUUUCUAACCAUUGUUCCGGGUACACGUGCUCUCUUGCCUACAUGAUCCUGUUCUCUCGCACUCUCUCCCCCUCCUUCUUACCUCUCUUCCUCCUCCAUCUCUCCCCUCUCCCCUGCCUCCUUUAGUCAUCAAACUUACAAUCCCUCCUCCAGAAAUCUGAUCUAAAUACAUGCAUUUAUAUGCAUGUAUUACAUAUGGUACUUAAAAAGCCUUGUUCUCAUAAACAAACAGACAACUUAUUUUAUGGAAUCUUGGGGUGAGCCAACCCUUCACAGGGCAGAGGUCACCUACAAGGGGAGAGGCUUAUAGGGUUAUUGGGGACCAGAAUGAGGAAGUGGUGACUUUAGGUGUGUGUAUCAGAACUGUUUUGAUGCAGCAACUGGCUGGCAGAGAAUUGUAUUACCAGGAAAUAAUAACUCACUCCAGGUUUUCAUAAAGGCCAGGGGUUGCCCUUGGGUUGUAUCCCUAAGUAUAUAAUAGUAUAUAAUGAUCAGCUUUAACUCCCUACAACUCCCAAGGGUCUACAGACUAAAAAGUGCUUCCUGUUACCAAAGUGAAGUCAAAUGCAGCACAGUCAAAUUAGUUUCUCCAUGUGGGUGUCCAGCUCUAAUUAUAUAACAGCUUCUAAUUAUAAAACGUUAAGAAUGGCUAUUAACUUUUGAAUCUCAUUAAAAUUAACGGUUAAUUUGCUAAAAGUCGCUUGUUUGGAAAAACUGCUAAUGACCGUUCUGCAGAUAGGUACAGGUACAAAAUCUGCAAGGACACAGGCUCAAGGAAAAAUUUUGCAUUUAAAAUCUCACACACCUUUGAGUUUUUAGCUAGUGUACAUAGUAGCUAGGGUUUGGGGAGAUAUAUUUACAUUUAGUCCAAUGAAUAGGAAUAGUCUGCCAGGCCCGGUGGCUCACACGUGUAGUCCCAGCACUUUGGGAGGCCAAGACGGGUGGAUCGCUUAACACCAGGAGUUCCAGACCAGCCUGGGCAACAUUGUGAAACCCCAUCUCUUCCAAAAAAUUCAAAAAUUAGCCAGGCAUAGUGGCGUGCAUCUGUUAAGUCCCAACUACUCAGAAGGCUGAGGCAGGAGGAACGCUCGAGCCCAGGAAGUCAAGGCUGCAGUGAGAUUGUGCUACUGCUGCACUCCAGCCUGGGCAACAGAGUGAGACCUUUUCUAAAAAAAAAAAAAAAAAAAAAAAAAGAAUAAGAAUUGUCACUUGACAAUAAGAACAGGAUGAAAUGAAAAAAAAGAGGGAAUGACUUACCCAUCUAUUUUAACAGUUGGGAUUCUAGAGUAUGGCAGGGAGCACAGGUGUUUGGGGGUACAGGGACUGAAAGGUGAAGCCAAUUCCAUUCCAGUAAUAGAAUAAGCUGUGAGGAGGACCCAGAUGUCUGUUCUUUAGAAUGGCCCCCAAGAUGUAUGUUUCUCCAUGAUGCACUGUCCUGAAUUCCGCAGCCUGUGUCAGAAAACCUGCCUGCUAGUGGACACGAGAGCGUGGAAGGUCAAGCACGAUGCUCUCCUGCAGACACCUCUCUCAGUGCAUGGAAACAGACCACUGAGCCAAGAGAGCUUGAGGCUCUGGAGACGGUUUUUAGACUAAAAUCUCUCAUCAGGAGAUGAGCAAAUGCAAUCAGAAAUAAACUCCAAGUGCCCAGCACAAGCCCCUUCCUUUCUUAGUGGCUGAGGCUGCACCGUGUCAAGUUGUUACAGAAGCUGCAUUCCAGAGGGUGCCCUGGUCUAUUUCCUGAGCCGAUCGGCGGCUCUCUGGCAUCCAUGGGGAGCCCUGCCCAAACCAUCAUCCACCAAUGGCAACUCUCCCAGGGGUCCAAUGUCAGCCUCAGCUCUGCAUGAAACCUCCAUAUCAUGUUCUCACUACUAAGGACACAAUUUGCUAAAGAGAAAAGAGUGGUGAGGGGCUGCAGUACAGUAAUGACAAACAAAACUAAUAAACGAGGGUUUUCUAGAGUGGAUCACCACUAGAAAAUGAGGUCUACCAGCCGGGCGUGGUGGCUCACGCCUGUAAUCCCAGCAUUUUAGGACGCCGAGGUGGGCGUAUCAUGAGGUCAAGGGAUCAAGACCAUCCUGGCCAACAUGGUGAAACUCCGUCUCUACUAAAAAUACAAAAAUUAGUUGGGUGUGGUGGCGCAUGCCUGUAGUCCCAGCUACUUGGGAGGCUGAGGCAGGAGAAUCGCUUGAACCCAGGAGGUGGAGGUUGCAGUGAGCCAAGAUUGCACCACUGCACUCCAGCUUGGAGUCAGAGUGAGACUCUGUCUCAAAAAAAAAAAAAAAAAAAAAAAAAAGAAAAAGAAAAAAGAAAGAAAGAAAAUGAGGUCUACCUUUCAUUUCAUUCCCUUUGCCAGUCACAUAGUUCCCUGAGAACAGAGAGUGAUGGCCGGAUGCUCAGCAAAGGCAACAGCAGGACUGAAGACAGUGAGUUUCUCCACUCAUAAAAGUAAAAAAUACAGCACAUUUUCUUUAUAUAGAUACGUGAGAUGCAUAAAGUAACAAAUUCAACAAGAGCUUUGGAUUCGGAAUUUCUAGUAGUAGAAGCUCAAGCUCAGGUGUUUAAAAAUCUGAAUAAUCCAUAGGACCUAAAUCCCUUUUAAUUUUAUUCUAAAACUCACAGUGGUGGAAUUAAUAAAGAAUGGUUCAUAAUCAGUAACACUACCUCUCCAGCAAAUAAUACCAUUUCUGAAAUUUCAAGUUUACAGGUUUGUAACAGUUAGAGAGGUGGGGCUGGAAGUAUCUUAUUGUUUUCUACUUCACCUAUUUCGUUACUAUGUGUAUUCUUAGUUUUCUUCAGAGCAAUGUGUCCAACUGAAUUCCUGGGCAUCUAACAGGAUUUCUGAGUUAAAAAUCCUGUAAUAUCAACUAAUCAAUUAACUAUUUUUUAAAAAAUCUUCUUUAUCAUAUAAACUGAAUACUAAAGAAUUGUAAAAUAAAUGUAUUAUUCAGGUAAAUAUUGUCCUAAAGACUGUUAUUUUGCCUAUAAUGCUAAUGAGUACAGUAUAGUGAAGUAUAAGAAUUAAUGAUUAUUCUGUAUAUAUACACAGAUGUGUACAGGUGUUAAUGUACGUGAGCACAUUCAAAAACUGAGCAUUGGAGAUGGUGCUCACAUUUGAAUAUUUAGGACACUAUUGGUGGUCUUUUGAUGGUAUAUUCAUGAGUGUCAUCGUAUUCGUAUUUAAAUAAUAAGACAGCCUCUUGCUAGCGAGCACAGAACAAAAUGAUUAAAUGGGAAUGAGUUGAUUCAGAGAUUUAAUAGCCAAAAAUUUGGCAGAGCUAGAUGACAAGAGAGUGCAGCAGUGAGAAAAAUAUUCCAUUUUAGUGACAGAAAAAAAUCCACAAAAAACCACAGCAUUAAACAUUAUUCAUGGGUACUAUUUGUCUUCACUUGUUGAUUUUAAAGUUUUCGGUUACAUGUUUCCAUAUCAGAUGACAUUAUUAUUUUCAUAUACAGUUAUUUAGGUCACCAAGGAGGUUUCUUUUGUUACUGUUUUGGGUUACCACAUAUUUUUUUUGGUUCAUCUUACUUCUCCCUAAAUAGGAAUCAGAAAAUGACUUUCUGAAAGUUGAAUUUCCUGGUUCUAGAUAAAGACUAUCUAAGCAGAAUUUUAAUCCACUGUAAAUCAAUCUUUACAACCUGAAUCACUGCUGUCAUUACAAUGUAAAUCUUAAUUUUUUUAAAUGUCAAAUUUGUCACACAUUUUCCAUCCCUCUUUAUGUAAAUAUGUCCCAGGUAUUUUCCUAAUAAAUAUAUAAACUAC
rnacentral:lncRNA from 10 species